UUCUUCUCAAGAGUGUGAGACGAACCGAUAACGAGGAAAUAGAUAUACGAGUCCAGAAGACGAAGAUUUUGCCACCCAACUCGGAUCUAUGCAUCCCGUUCUACAAUGUGGUGCUCAGGAGGGUAAUGAAAAUCGUCGGGCUGAAGCUUGUCGGUCGAAAUCAUUACGAUCCAGAGAGCGCCGUCGUCCUUGGAAAACACCGGCUGCAAGUGUGGCCAGGUUAUUCAACCGCUAUCAAGCGCACAGAUGGAGGCAUGUACCUGAACGUGGACGUGUCGCACAAAGUCCUGAGGAAUGACUCGGUGCUGAAU